rnacentral:tRNA from 1 species
AAAGACUUAAGUUAAUAAAAACUAAAAGCCUUCAAAGCUUUAAAUGGUACUCCCAGCCUUUAC